CUAAGAAUCUUCCGCAAUGGGGGAAACCCUGACGGAGCGACGCCGCGUGAACGAAGAAGGCCGGAAGGUUGUAAAGUUCUUUUCUUAGUGAAGAAUAACGGCAGGAGGGAAUGCCUGUCAGAUGACGUUAGCUAAGGAAUAAGCCCCGGCUAAUUACGUGCCAGCAGCCGCGGUAACACGUAAGGGGCGAGCGUUGUUCGGAAUUAUUGGGCGUAAAGGGCGCGUAGGCGGCUUUGCAAGCCUGGUGUGAAAGGUCACAGCUUAACUGUGGGACUGCGCUGGGAACUGCAUGGCUAGAGUUCAAGAGGGGAAACUGGAAUUCCUGGUGUAGGGGUGAAAUCUGUAGAUAUCAGGAAGAACACCUGUGGCGAAGGCGAGUUUCUGGCUAUGAACUGACGCUGAGGCGCGAAAGCGUGGGGAGCGAACA
rnacentral:rRNA from 1 species